rnacentral:rRNA from 1 species
AUUGAACGCUGGCGGCAUGCCUAACACAUGCAAGUCGAACGAGUGGCGGACGGGUGAGUAAUGUAUGGGAAACUGCCUGAUGGAGGGGGAUAACUACUGGAAACGGUGGCUAAUACCGCAUACCAUCGGAUGUGCCCAGAUGGGAUUAGCUAGUAGGGGGGGUAAAGGCUCACCUAGGCGACGAUCCCUAGCUGGUCUGAGAGGAUGACCAGCCACACUGGGACUGAGACACGGUCCAGACUCCGACGGGAGGCAGCAGUGGGGAAUAUUGGACAAUGGGCGCAAGCCUGAUGCAGCCAUGCCGCGUGUAUGAAGAAGGCCUUCGGGUUGUAAAGUACUUUCAGCGGAGAGGCGUUACCCGCAGAAGAAGCACCGGCUAACUACGUGCCAGCAGCCGCGGUAAUUC